GUGUCUGUAGCGCGAUGGAUAGCGCGUUGGACUUCUAAUCCAAAUAUCGUGGUUUGAAUCACACCUGGGAUG